rnacentral:rRNA from 1 species
UGAAGCAAUGCGGCGUGCUUACACAUGCAGUCGAACGAUGAAGCCCAGCUUGCUGGGUGGAUUAGUGGCGAACGGGUGAGUAACACGUGAGUAACCUGCCCUUGACUCUGGGAUAAGCGCUGGAAACGGCGUCUAAUACCGGAUACGACCUGCCCCGGCAUCGGGUGCGGGUGGAAAGUUUUUCGGUCAAGGAUGGACUCGCGGCCUAUCAGGUAGUUGGUGAGGUAAUGGCUCACCAAGCCGACGACGGGUAGCCGGCCUGAGAGGGUGACCGGCCACACUGGGACUGAGACACGGCCCAGACUCCUACGGGAGGCAGCAGUGGGGAAUAUUGCACAAUGGGCGAAAGCCUGAUGCAGCAACGCCGCGUGGGGGAUGACGGCCUUCGGGUUGUAAACCUCUUUUAGUAGGGAAGAAGGGCUUCGGCUUGACGGUACCUGCAGAAAAAGCACCGGCUAACUACGUGCCAGCAGCCGCGGUAAUACGUAGGGUGCAAGCGUUGUCCCGGAAUUAUUGGGCGUAAAGAGCUCGUAGGCGGUUUGUCGCGUCUGCUGUGAAAACCCGAGGCUCAACCUCGGGCCUGCAGUGGGUACGGGCAGACUAGAGUGCGGUAGGGGAGAAUGGAAUUCCUGGUGUAGCGGUGGAAUGCGCAGAUAUCAGGAGGAACACCGAUGGCGAAGGCAGUUCUCUGGGCCGUUACUGACGCUGAGGAGCGAAAGCGUGGGGAGCGAACAGGAUUAGAUACCCUGGUAGUCCACGCCGUAAACGUUGGGAACUAGAUGUGGGGACCUUUCCACGGUCUCCGUGUCGCAGCUAACGCAUUAAGUUCCCCGCCUGGGGAGUACGGCCGCAAGGCUAAAACUCAAAGGAAUUGACGGGGGCCCGCACAAGCGGCGGAGCAUGCGGAUUAAUUCGAUGCAACGCGAAGAACCUUACCAAGGCUUGACAUAUACCGGAAACUUCCAGAAAUGGUUGCCCCGCAAGGUCGGUAUACAGGUGGUGCAUGGUUGUCGUCAGCUCGUGUCGUGAGAUGUUGGGUUAAGUCCCGCAACGAGCGCAACCCUCGUUCUAUGUUGCCAGCACGUCAUGGUGGGAACUCAUAGGAGACUGCCGGGGUCAACUCGGAGGAAGGUGGGGAUGACGUCAAAUCAUCAUGCCCCUUAUGUCUUGGGCUUCACGCAUGCUACAAUGGCCGGUACAAAGGGCUGCGAUACCGUAAGGUGGAGCGAAUCCCAAAAAGCCGGUCUCAGUUCGGAUUGAGGUCUGCAACUCGACCUCAUGAAGUCGGAGUCGCUAGUAAUCGCAGAUCAGCAACGCUGCGGUGAAUACGUUCCCGGGCCUUGUACACACCGCCCGUCAAGUCAUGAAAGUCGGUAACACCCGAAGCCAGUGGCCUAACCGCAAGGAGGGAGCUGUCGAAGGUGAUCGAUGCCCU